CCUCAGGGUUUGACACUCACUGAUUUCUCCCACUUGCCAAGAGGCCAAGUAGAAAAGUUAAACUACUUGCCCAUCACAGAUACUACUUACCCCAUGUUUCUUAUGGUAUAGAAAGAACUAGACAAACAAAACACAGCAAGUGAAGAGUUUUAAUGAAUGAAUUGAGGUUAGAAGUUGAAAAAAUAUGUACUUGCCACUCGGGCAAGCCUUUUGGCAAUUUUACUUGCCCUGAUUAAUUAGUACUUGCCACGGGCAAGCGGACAAGCAUGAGUGUCGAACCCUGGUACAGUUAAAUAGCA